rnacentral:rRNA from 1 species
GGCUGAAAUUCGCCUCCAUGAAGCUGGAAUUGCUAGUAAUGGCAGGUCAGCAUACUGCCGUGAAUACGUUCCCGGGCCUUGUACACACCGCCCGUCACACCAUGAGAGUUGGAAAUACCCGAAGCCUGUGAGCUAACAGUAAUGAGGCAGCAGUCGAAGGUAGAGCCAAUGAUUGGGGUGAAGUCGUAACAAGGUAAC